ensembl:snRNA U6 U6 spliceosomal RNA
CUGCUUUAGCAACAUAUAUAUUAAAAUUGGAACAAUACUACGAAUAUUAGCAUAUCCGUGUGCAAGGAUGACAUGCAAAUUUAUGAAGCAUUAUAUAUACAU